AUUGGUACCCGAACACUAGCAUUGACUUCUCUAUAUAAUGCAGUAAGUGCUACUUGUUGGGGUAGUUUGA
rnacentral:pre_miRNA from 1 species